rnacentral:rRNA from 1 species
UACGUAGGGUGCGAGCGUUGUCCGGAAUUAUUGGGCGUAAAGAGCUUGUAGGCGGUUUGUCGCGUCUGCUGUGAAAUCUCAAGGCUCAACCUUGAGCUUGCAGUGGGUACGGGCAGACUAGAGUGUGGUAGGGGAGACUGGAAUUCCUGGUGUAGCGGUGAAAUGCGCAGAUAUCAGGAGGAGCACCGAUGGCGAAGGCAGGUCUCUGGGCCACUACUGACGCUGAGAAGCGAAAGCAUGGGGAGCGAACAGG